CUGGAGCCCUUGGAAGUGCGUCACUCCCUGCGGAGCUGCUGCGGCGUUCCCGAGGGCUGUGCCUGCGGAUCCAGCGUGGAGAGCCCCAUCUCCAGCAGCCAGGUGGAGCAGACACCCAGGGAAAAGGGACUUCGGUGUGGGACAGAGCUCAAAUGUCAGUGCCCCUUCCGCCACGGCCUAGCAGCCUGGAUGUAGUCGUCCUGUCAGAAGUAUGAAAUUUACAGCAGAAGAAUUAAUUUAACACCAAAAAAGCUCUCCCUCAUCUGAACUGUCAUUCAAAAUGCACAAUGAAAAUCACCAAGGAGGAGUUUUCUACCCCACUGUCUACAGGACUCCUGGAAGAAUCUUCUGAAACUUGCGGAAGUGGUCUAUUCCAAGAACUCUAAUAUACGAAGUCUUGUUAAGGUUAAAGUCUCUGCAGGCUGAAGUUCAUUUUUUGAAGAAGAAACACAGUUAACAGUAAAAUCAGUUCGUAGGUAGGAUAUUGCCAGCCUGGUCAUUUCCCUUCUUGCAUGUGCUCAGUUGGAAGUCAACUAAAAAUCAGCAGAAGCUUCCAG